rnacentral:rRNA from 1 species
UACAGAGGGUGCGAGCGUUAAUCGGAAUUACUGGGCGUAAAGCGUGCGUAGACGGUAGCGUAAGUCAGAUGUGAAAGCCCCGGGCUCAACCUGGGAAUUGCAUUUGAGACUGCUCUGCUCGGGUGCGGAAGAGGGAAGCGGAAUUUCCGGUGUAGCGGUGAAAUGCGUAGAUAUCGGAAGGAACACCAGUUGCGAAAGCGGCUUCCUGGUCCGACACCGACUUUCAGGCACGAAAGCGUAGGGAGCAAACAGG